AGAGUUUGAUCCUGGCUCAGGAUGAACGCUGGCGGCGUGCCUAAUACAUGCAAGUCGAACGCGAAAGGUCUGAAGCCUUCGGGCGGAGGGCCGAGUAGAGUGGCGAACGGGUGAGGAACACGUAGGUGACCUGCCCCGGAGAGGGGGAUAACCGUCGGAAACGGCGGCUAAUACCCCAUAAGCUCACGCGAGUUAGAGGGCGUGUGAGAAAAGCUCCGGCGCUCCGGGAGGGGCCUGCGGCCCAUCAGCUAGUUGGUAGGGUAAAGGCCUACCUAGGCGACGAUCAGUAGCCGGCCUGAGAGGGUGUACGGCCACACUGGAACUGAGACACGGUCCAGACUCCUACGGGAGGCAGCAGUGGGGAAUAUUGCGCAAUGGGGGAAACCCUGACGCAGCGACGCCGCGUGAGCGAAGAAGGCCUUCGGGUUGUAAAGCUCUGUUCUAAGGGACGAAGGACUUGGCUGUGAAUAAUGGUCAAGGGUGACGGUACCUUAGGAGAAAGCCCCGGCUAACUACGUGCCAGCAGCCGCGGUAAU
rnacentral:rRNA from 1 species